GCUUUAAUAAUUUAAAUUUAAAAUAUUGGUCUUGUAAACCAAACCUGUGAAAUACUCAUUUAAAGCU
rnacentral:tRNA from 1 species